rnacentral:rRNA from 1 species
AUAACGGAGAGUUUGAUCCUGGCUCAGAACGAACGCUGGCGGCGCGUUUUAAGCAUGCAAGUCGAGCGGUAAGGUCCUUCGGGACCCUAG